GACGAACGCUGGCGGCGUGCCUAAUACAUGCAAGUCGAACGCAGUGGGGACGGGUGAGUAACACGUGGCUAACCUCCCGUCAGAGGGGAUAACACUUGGAAACAGGUGCUAAACCGAUACUGAUGGAUGGACCCGCGGUGCAUUAGCUAGUUGGUGAGGUAACGGCUCACCUAGGCCACGAUGCAUAGCGGGCCUGAUAGGAUGACCGGCCACACUGGAACUGAGACACGGCCCAGACUCCUACGGGAGGCAGCAGUAGGGAAUAUUCGGCAAUGGGCGAAAGUCUGACGCAGCAACGCCGCGUGUGUGAAGAAGGUUUUCGGAUCGUAAAACUCUUUUGUUAGAGAAGCGGUAUCUAAACAGAAAGCCACGGCUAACUACGUGCCAGCAGCCGCGGUAAUAC
rnacentral:rRNA from 1 species